UUUCAAAAACAUCGCCUCUUGCUAAACCGAAAGUAUAAGAGGUCCCGCCUGCCCUGUGACUAUAUGUUUAACGGCCGCGGUAUUUUGACCGUGCGAAGGUAGCGCAAUCACUUGUCUUUUAAAUGGGGACCUGUAUGAAUGGCAUAACGAGGGCUUAACUGUCUCCUCUUUCAAGUCAAUGAAAUUGAUCUCCCCGUGCAGAAGCGGGGAUAGAUACAUAAGACGAGAAGACCCUAUGGAGCUUUAGACACUAAAGCAGAUCAGUAUUAAUACCCUGAACAUAGGCUACGAAUAAACUGACCCCUGCCCUAAUGUCUUUGGUUGGGGCGACCGCGGAGAAAAAUAAAACCCCCGCAAGGACUAAAUGUACUACAUUCACAAACAAGAGCGACAGCUCUAACUAACAGAACUUCUGACCAAUAAGAUCCGGCAAUGCCGAUCAAUGAACCGAGUUACCCUAGGGAUAACAGCGCAAUCUCCUCUUAGAGCCCAUAUCGACG
rnacentral:rRNA from 1 species